AGUAACGCGUGAGUAACCUGCCUUUCAGAGGGGGAUAACGUUCUGAAAAGAACACUAAUACCGCAUGAGACUACAGAGCUGCAUGGCUCAGUGGUCAAAGGAGCAAUCCGCUGAAAGAUGGACUCGCGUCCGAUUAGAUAGUAGGCGGGGUAACGGCCCACCUAGUCGACGAUCGGUAGCCGGACUGAGAGGUUGAACGGCCACAUUGGGACUGAGACACGGCCCAGACUCCUACGGGAGGCAGCAUG
rnacentral:rRNA from 1 species